rnacentral:rRNA from 1 species
AGCUAGUUGGCGGGGUAAAGGCCCACCAAGGCGACGAUCGGUAGCUGGUCUGAGAGUAUGAUCAGCCACACUGGAACUGAGACACGGUCCAGACUCCUACGGGAGGCAGCAGUGGGGAAUAUUGGACAAUGGGCGGAAGCCUGAUCCAGCAACGCCGCGUGAGGGAUGACGGCCUUCGGGUUGUAAACCUCUUUCAGCACAGACGAAGCGCCCGUUGCGGGUGGUGACGGUAUGUGCAGAAGAAGCACCGGCCAACUACGUGCCAGCAGCCGCGGUAAUACGUAGGGUGCGAGCGUUGUCCGGAAUUAUUGGGCGUAAAGGGCUCGUAGGCGGUUUGUCGCGUCGGGAGUGAAAUCCACUGGCUUAACUGGUGGCUUGCUUUCGAUACGGGCAGACUGGAGGUAUGCAGGGGAGAACGGAAUUCCUGGUGUAGCGGUGAAAUGCGCAGAUAUCAGGAGGAACACCGGUGGCGAAGGCGGUUCUCUGGGCAUGUCCUGACGCUGAGGAGCGAAAGUGUGGGGAGCGAACAGGAUUAGAUACCCUGGUAGUCCACACCGUAAACGUUGGGCGCUAGGUGUGGGAUCCAUUCCACGGGUUCCGUGCCGCAGCUAACGCAUUAAGCGCCCCGCCUGGGGAGUACGGCCGCAAGGCUAAA